rnacentral:rRNA from 1 species
UACGUAGGGUGCAAGCGUUGUCCGGAAUUAUUGGGCGUAAAGAGCGUGUAGGCGGCCCGAUUAGUCCGCUGUGAAAGUCCAGGGCUCAACCCUGGAAUGCCGGUGGAUACUGUCGGGCUAGAGUCCGGAAGGGGCGAGUGGAAUUCCUGGUGUAGCGGUGAAAUGCGCAGAUAUCAGGAGGAACACCAAUGGCGAAGGCAGCUCGCUGGGACGUUACUGACACUGAGGCGCGAAAGCGUGGGGGAGCGAACAGG